CUGUACAUGGAAUUAACAGGUUAUAUGAAUCACCAAGUAGCAACUAAUUGUGCUUGUGUUUCUUUCACCGGUGGCCAAAACUGAGAGAAGAGUAGCUAAAGCGGCUCCAAAGGCUGUGGUUAUGCACAGAAAACAACACACAGUCUUCAUAUGCAUUCAUCUUUUCUAGCACCGAGAACAAUGCAAUCCCACUGCAGAAUGGAAAGGGAGUCGAUGAGCACAGUGACAGUGUCUUCUUCUGCGUCACAUCCUUUGUUGCUAUCCUCCUUGGCUUGGCUUGGCUGCUGCUCCCAAGUCAAAUCUCUUGAAAUCGAUGGGACCGUUCGCAUCCUUUUGUCGCAGACCACACGUCGAUGGAAUGAGUGUUUGGCAGAAGACCUAAUAAGCCUCUUCUCAGCAGUUCUCACCACCCAUUUCCAUGGCAGAUCAACACCAAUGUGUUACUGCACCAAAAGGUUUGGGUAGAGAAGGAUUU
rnacentral:lncRNA from 1 species